GUCAGUGUGGUAUAGUGGUUUGAGCAUUGGACUCUGACUCUGCAGACCAGGGUCCAAAACCCUGCUCAGCCA